rnacentral:rRNA from 1 species
AUUGAACGCUGGCGGCAGGCUUAACACAUGCAAGUCGAGCGGGGUGAUGGUGCUUGCACUAUCACUUAGCGGCGGACGGGUGAGUAAUGCUUAGGAAUCUGCCUAUUAGUGGGGGACAACAUCUCGAAAGGGAUGCUAAUACCGCAUACGUCCUACGGGAGAAAGCAGGGGAUCACUUGUGACCUUGCGCUAAUAGAUGAGCCUAAGUCGGAUUAGGUAGUUGGUGGGGUAAAGGCCUAACAAGGCGACGAUCUGUAGCGGGUCUGAGAGGAUGAUCCGCCACACUGGGACUGAGACACGGCCCAGACUCCUACGGGAGGCAGCAGUGGGGAAUAUUGGACAAUGGGGGGAACCCUGAUCCUGCCAUGCCGCGUGUGUGAAGAAGGCCUUAUGGUUGUAAAGCACUUUAAGCGAGGAGGAGGCUCUUUUGGUUAAUACCCAAGAUGAGUGGACGUUACUCGCAGAAUAAGCACCGGCUAACUCUGUGCCAGCCGCCGCCGUAA